rnacentral:rRNA from 1 species
UACGAAGGGGGCGAGCGUUGUUCGGAUUUACUGGGCGUAAAGGGCGCGCAGGCGGCUAUCCAAGUCAGGCGUGAAAGCCCCGGGCUUAACCUGGGAGGUGCGUCUGGGACUGGGUGGCUAGAGUUCGGGAGAGGAGAGUGGAAUUCCCAGUGUAGAGGUGAAAAUUCGUAGAUAUUGGGAAGAACACCGGAUGGCGAAGGCGGCUCUCUGGACCGAGACUGACGCUGAGGCGCGAAAGCGUGGGGAGCAAACAGG